UGACUGAAUAUGGCUGUGAUAUCUGUCAUCCCAUCGAUUGCUAGGGUUGCUUAUUUGGCUGAUCUGGCUGGUGUCCCAUCCUCCCUCA
rnacentral:snRNA from 1 species